CUAGGGUAGUGUCGGUGACUGGGGCUAAGUCGUAACAAGGYAGCAGUAGGUGAACCUGCAGAAGGAUCA
rnacentral:rRNA from 1 species